rnacentral:rRNA from 1 species
CAAAAACAUGUCCUUUUGUAAAUAAUUUAAGGUCUAGCCUGCCCACUGAUAUUUUAAAUGGCCGUGGUAUUUUGACCGUGCUAAGGUAGCAUAAUCAUUAGUUUUUUAAUUAAAAACUGGAAUGAAAGGUUGGAUGAGAAAAUAGCUGUCUCUAUUAAAUUUAAUUAGAAUUUUAUUUUUAAGUUAAAAAGCUUAAUUGCUAUUAAAAGACGAGAAGACCCUAUAGAGUUUAAUUAUUUAAUAAAAAUUAUAUUUUAGUAUUAAUUUAUUUAUUUUAUUGAAUAAUUUAAUUGGGGUGAUUGAAAAAUUUAAUUAACUUUUUUUAUUUAAGAACAUUAAUUUAUGAAUAAAUGAUCCGAUAUUUUUGAUUAUAAGAUAAAAUUACCUUAGGGAUAACAGCGUAAUUUUUUUAGAAAGUUCAUAUUAAAAAAAAAGAUUGCGACCUCGAUGUUGGAUUAAAAUAAAUUUUUGGUGUAGAAGCUAAAAUAUUAGGUCUGUUCGACCUUUAAAAUUUUACAUGAUCUGAG